rnacentral:tRNA from 1 species
UGGCUCAGUUGGUAGAGCGUGGCGCUUUGUCAUGCCAGGGUUGUGGGUUUGAUUCCCAC